rnacentral:rRNA from 1 species
CAGGCUGNAACCCGCCUGCAUGAAGUCGGAAUUGCUAGUAAUCGCGGAUCAGCAUGCCGCGGUGAAUACGUUCCCGGGCCUUGUACACACCGCCCGUCACACCAUGGGAGCCGGUAAUACCCGAAGUCAGUAGUCCAACCUCGUGAGGACGCUGCCGAAGGUAGGAUUGGCGACUGGGGUGAAGUCGUAACAAGGUAGC